AGUAAGGGCUGCUUUCAAAGUGUCGGAGGGGUUCCGUGGAUUUUUUCAAGUGCACCUUCUCUUUGUUCAUUUUCUGGUAAACUAAUCCAGCUUGAUCUUCUAGUUUUGUUACAGCCGUGACCUUUUCUGUUCUAAUUCAUAUACACAAGCCUAAGCAUUUUGGCAUCUGUUAAGCUAUUUGCUGUAACAAUAAUCUUGCAUCAGUGAGUUCCACGAGUUUAUAACCUAUUGUACAGCAACAGUUUUAUUUAAACAGAUAAACUCAGAUUCUCACCUGCACUAAGUUGGACUGAAGUCAAUUCAUGCCAUCAAAAGAGCUGGCCCAAAGCUUUAAUUUCAUCAAAGGCCUCUUUGAUCUUCUAUUAGAGGAAAGGGAAAAUAGAUGCACUUUAUAACUAGAGGGGGUUAUGCCAUGCAUUUUAUCUUCUUCUGUCUCUUAAUCUUUCAAAGUGCAACUGUGCUGUCCCUUUUGAUUCUUCCUGGUUACAGGGUCCCACUGGUGACUCUGCCUUGCACUGACCCUCAGAACAAGGGAUCACUUCUCUGACUUGAACCUGCAGAACAGAUCUGCGUUGGGUUAGCUGUUCUGAGAGGAGAAGCCACCUACACGCUACAAACGUGUUUUAGGAAAGGCAGCAAUUAACUCCGCACCUGCAGGGUGCCUUGCAGCUCUUAGUGGUGUAGAGUGCAAGACAGAUUCUGCUAUGCAGACUCCACUAGGUGGACCCGGUCUUACCCAGUGUCACUGCUCACAGGUUAAGGAAGGACCUUAUCCAGUCACUUGCUCACAUUACCAGGAAGAUACAUCUUCUCAGCCCCUAACACCAAACAAAGGCUUCACUGUAUGACAUUCAGCCACGUUCUCCUUCUCACCUUCCUCUUUAGUCGCCCUCAUGACCUUCCCAUGAUCCCUCAGAUAAACCAGUUUCAUCCCAUGGAGCAGCCCUACUGCAGCCAAGCAAAUUUCCUUUCCAUGUUGCCAGUGUAACUGCUCCGUGACAUGGUACUUGGGUUGAACAAGACCUGGAAAGGUUUCUGGAAAGAUACUCUUAUGCCUCCAUUGCUGAGUGGACCAGGGAACAUCAUAUAAAAGACAUUCUUCCAGUUAUACUCCUGGUUUUUAUACUUCUGUGUGUGUGCAAGAUCAGUCUGAGCUACUGAAAGGGUCUGAAAGCUAAAACUAGGUCAGUGUGCAGUGAUUGCACCAUUGGAUUGCCGCCUUGGUGAUAUCCAUCUCACCGAGGACAAAGCCAAGCUGCCUUGGCAGGGCUCUGAGCUAUCAUCUGAAGCUGAUCGCUUUCUGUCUCCACCAAGCAGAGCUGGAGCUGAAAACCAGGCUGCGAUGGAUGCACAGCUUGCCUCAGAGCUGCAGGAAUCCCCAUGCUGAGUUUGAGUGAGGAAUUUAAUCGGGUCGGGUCUCCCUCGUCUUCAGCAGACUCAGGACAACUGCUUGAGAAGAAAGUGCCAGGGGCCAGCGUGCCCAAAAGGGAAGUUUUGUCCCUACCCCCAUUAAUUAGAGCUUUGCAGAGCACUGAAGCAUGAAGAUGUAAAACAAAGCACUGCUCCAUCUUCAUUCCCCCGUAGCUCAGAAUCACCUGCUAUGCCACAAGGCACAGGCGAGCCCACCAGCAGCUGUGCAACAAACUCUCGGAAGCUCUUAAUGUUAAAGCAUCCCUAUAAACAGAAGAGCCACAAAAGUUGUAUUUCCAAUCCUCCACCAGGACGGCCUCUGCCUGGGUGCCUUUAAGCCAUGUUCUUUAUUGAAAAGCAAGAAGAAAAAAUUAAAAAAGGAAGAAAAAUACACACACAGAAAACCCCAUAGCUUUUAAUUUGGACAUUGUGUGCUGAGAUUGGCUGUGUUUUAGGAAGAGAGCACUGGGCUCUCUUCCACUUCAUGCCCACACACGUGCAUGCCUCUAGAAGGCUCUGUCAGUGGGGACAGGCUGUAAGUUUCCAGAUGCACUGAAAGUGAUGCCUGGCACUGAGCUGCAGCCUUGCACUGCAGAAGCAGGAAGCAGACAUCCCAAGGACACAGUAUAGGAACUGCUUAUGGUCAUCACAGCCAGGUGAGCUUGGUGCUCCCUGAAGGACUGUGUGGGUGGGUGAGCAGCACCUGGGACAGUGGGUACAGCCCUUGACAAAUGAGGGAAAGAAAAUGAAAUCCUAGAGCCCAUGAGGACAGUGGCCUCCAUGCCUUGCUCAAAGGCUUAUCUGCAGGAGAACCCUGCACUUACACGUACAUAAAUUAGCCAAGCCUGAUCCCAGCUCUACUGGCAGACACAGUGCUAAUGCAGCUUUGUCAAACCAGCUCAUGUUAUUGACCCUGUACUCCACACUC
ensembl:lncRNA